rnacentral:rRNA from 1 species
UACGUAGGGGCCGAGCGUUGUCCGGAGUUACUGGGCGUAAAGCGCGCGCAGGCGGCUGAUCAAGCCUGACGUGAAAGCCCCCGGCUCAACCGGGGAGGGUCGUCGGGGACUGAUCGGCUUGAGGGCGGUAGGGGCUGGUGGAAUUCCCGGUGUAGUGGUGAAAUGCGUAGAGAUCGGGAGGAACACCCGUGGCGAAGGCGGCCAGCUGGGCCGACCCUGACGCUGAGGCGCGAAGGCGUGGGGAGCGAACGGG